rnacentral:rRNA from 1 species
UUGAAAGGGAAACGAUUGAAGUCAGUCGUACCGACGAGAAAUCAGCUUAUCGUGUGUUAACUUGUGGGCGUGCGUGAGUUUCGGCCUCGCUGCUUGCAUGUUUGUGCUUUUUGGGUGUACUUUUUCGUAUGGUUGGCCAACGUCAGUCUCGGUUAUCAUAAAAUGAUUGGAGGAAUGUAGCUUCGAUCUUGUAUUGAAGUGUUAUAGCCUCUGGUAGGUGUGGUGAACGAAACUGAGGAUUGCAACGAAUACCCUUUGGGCUAUCCGUCUGACCUCUGAAAGUUGCUUGGGUGCCGAAAGCUUGCUUACGGUCAUCCAUGAUGACGGUCAAAAGGUUAGAACGUGAUUACAUUCGUUAAGGAUGUUGACGUA